rnacentral:rRNA from 1 species
UGCAGUCGAACGGCAGCACGGGAGCAAUCCUGGUGGCGAGUGGCGAACGGGUGAGUWWUAUAUCGGAACGUGCCCAGUCGUGGGGGAUAACGCAGCGAAAGCUGUGCUAAUACCGCAUACGAUCUAUGGAUGAAAGCGGGGGAUCGCAAGACCUCGCGCGAUUGGAGCGGCCGAUAUCAGAUUAGCUAGUUGGUGAGGUAAAGGCUCACCAAGGCGACGAUCUGUAGCUGGUCUGAGAGGACGACCAGCCACACUGGAACUGAGACACGGUCCAGACUCCUACGGGAGGCAGCAGUGGGGAAUUUUGGACAAUGGGCGCAAGCCUGAUCCAGCAAUGCCGCGUGCAGGAUGAAGGCCUUCGGGUUGUAAACUGCUUUUGUAUGGAACGAAACGGUCUGCCCUAAUACGGUGGGCUAAUGACGGUACCGUAAGAAUAAGCACCGGCUAACUACGUGCCAGCAGCCGCGGUAAUACGUAGGGUGCGAGCGUUAAUCGGAAUUACUGGGCGUAAAGCGUGCGCAGGCGGUUAUAUAAGACAGAUGUGAAAUCCCCGGGCUCAACCUGGGACCUGCAUUUGUGACUGUAUAGCUAGAGUACGGUAGAGGGGGAUGGAAUUCCGCGUGUAGCAGUGAAAUGCGUAGAUAUGCGGAGGAACACCGAUGGCGAAGGCAAUCCCCUGGACCCGUACUGACGCUCAUGCACGAAAGCGUGGGGAGCAAACAGGAUUAGAUACCCUGGUAGUCCA